CCUACGGGGUGCAGCAGUGAGGAAUAUUGGUCAAUGGACGAGAGUCUGAACCAGCCAAGUAGCGUGAAGGAUGACUGCCCUAUGGGUUGUAAACUUCUUUUAUAUGGGAAUAAAAUGUUCCACGUGUGGGAUUUUGUAUGUACCAUAUGAAUAAGGAUCGGCUAACUCCGUGCCAGCAGCCGCGGUAAUACGGAGGAUCCGAGCGUUAUCCGGAUUUAUUGGGUUUAAAGGGAGCGUAGGUGGAUUGUUAAGUCAGUUGUGAAAGUUUGCGGCUCAACCGUAAAAUUGCAGUUGAAACUGGCAGUCUUGUGUACAGUAGAGGUGGGCGGAAUUCGUGGUGUAGCGGUGAAAUGCUUAGAUAUCACGAAGAACUCCGAUUGCGAAGGCAGUUCACUGGACUGCAACUGACACUGAGGCUCGAAAGUGUGGGUAUCAAACAGGAUUAGAUACCCCGGUAGUC
rnacentral:rRNA from 1 species